UAAGCUAGUAAGACCCCUUGAAGAACACAAGGUUGAUAGGUCAGAGGUGUAAGCAUGGUAACAUGUUCAGCUGACUGAUACUAAUAGGUCGAGGGCUUGACCAAAUAA
rnacentral:rRNA from 1 species